rnacentral:rRNA from 1 species
AUUGAACGCUGGCGGCAGGCCUAACACAUGAAAGUCGAACGAGUGGCGGACGGGUGAGUAAUGUCUGGGAAACUGCCCGAUGGAGGGGGAUAACUACUGGAAACGGUAGCUAAUACCGCAUACCAUCGGAUGUGCCCAGAUGGGAUUAGCUAGUAGGUGGGGUAACGGCUCACCUAGGCGACGAUCCCGAGCUGGUCUGAGAGGAUGACCAGCCACACUGGAACUGAGACACGGUCCAGACUCCUACGGGAGGCAGCAGUGGGGAAUAGUACACAAUGGGCGCAAGCCUGAUGCAGCCAUGCCGCGGGUAUGAAGAAGGCCUUCGGGUUGGAAAGUACUUUCAGCGAGGAGGCGUUACUCACAGAAGACGCACCGGCUAACUCCGUGCCAGCAGCCGCGGUAAUAC